GACAUUUCAGACUAAGGCGGAAGAAGAGGGGGCAUGUCUGCAUAUAUACAAAUAAUAGUCCACUGAGCUCGGCUCACCCUCAUCCAUGCAUAAUGCAGUGUC